rnacentral:rRNA from 1 species
CCUACGGGAGGCAGCAGUGGGGGAUAUUGCACAAUGGGGGAAACCCUGAUGCAGCGACGCCGCGUGAGUGAAGAAGUAGUUAGGUAUGUAAAGCUCUAUCAGCAAGGAAGAAAAUGACAGUACCUGACCAAGAAGCCCCGGCUAACUACGUGCCAGCAGCGGCGAGAAUACGUAGGGGGCAGGCGUUAUCCGGAUUUAAGGGGUGUAAAGGGAGCGUAGACGGUUCUGUAAGUCUGGAGGGAAAGCCCGGGGGCCAACCCCCGGACUGCUUUGGAAACUGUGUAACUGGAGUACAGGAGGGGCAGGCGGAAUUCGUGGUGUAGCGGUGAAAUGCGUAGAUAUCAGGAGGAACACCGGCGGCGAAGGCAGCCUGCUGGACUGAAACUGACGUUGAGGCUCGAAAGCGUGGGGAGCGAACAGGAUUAGAUACCCUUGUAGUC